CUCAAGGUCCGCCUUCUUCUUCGCUUAUUUCCACCGGAUUCGUUUGCCCCGUCGCUGGUCUUUCUGGUUCGGCGGCGACCGUUUGGGUCUCGCUGGUGGGCUUGGAGGCUUGUUGCCUAGCAACAGGCUGCAAGCGGCUCGGGCGCGCUUUUCCGGAAGACGUUUGAUGGCGGAAAUGUAGGACGUCGGUCUCAAGGGGAAGUCUGCUCGUGAGACAGUGGGCGUGGCCGUCGGCUGACGCUCUUGCCUGAUUGGAACGCGAGUCGGCCGGCGACGCGAUGCAGUUCCCCAAGUACCAUUUGGAUGAAUGGAUGUAGGAGUAUUUUUGUCAAUAAGAAACGGUUUGAAGGGUGGAGGAAUGAAGUGAGAAUGUAUUUGUAUUUGCAGAAAUGCGAGGGGCGGAGUUAGAAGAGAGAGCGAAGCUGGAGGACUUGAACUCCGCGGGGUCAACGAGGUCAGGAAGUGAAGAAAAUGUUUCCAAUUCCGCGACGGGGACGGCCGCGGGAAACCGAGCCGACGUUUCCACGUUAAGAGCGCAGAACUGUGACUUGAACGGGUCACCUCGUCUCACAGGUCCGAGGUUUUGGAUCCGAAUAGCGAGGGUUCCUCCCGAGUUCCAAAAACAGGCCGCAAAUAUACAUACAUUUUAUUCAUAUUGAAUGGUUUUGUUUUGCUUUUUUUUUUGUGCCCUAUUUGGCGCUGGAGCGAUCCAAACGGAAAUCAUCUCCUGAUCGCACUCGGAAAGAACAACGACAAGAAAAAUGGCCGCCAGAGAGGUCAGCGAGCGUCCGUCAUCCGCGUCUGCCGUUUCGGCUUCCAAGAACUUGCUGGAGUCCAUUUUUGAAUGUACUUCGUUUGCUCUAUUCGACAUUCGCGUGCCGGUGAAAGGGAAAAUGGAUGACAAGUUACUCUUUUCCCUUUGCGAACGUCUCUCGCUUUUCGGCCGUUUUGCUUGCUUUUUCCUUCCAUCUGUCCUUCUUUCCCCUCUGCCGUCCGACGCUUGCUUUCAUUUCCUUCUUUUCUUCUGUUCCCCUGCGCUUCUGUCCAUCCGUCCUUUCUUCCAUCUGUUCUUCCUUCCUUUCAUUCCCUCGUCCCUGCGACGCUCGCCGGUCCAGACGGGUCAGGCGCUUGACGCGCAGGCCCCCGUGUCGAGGAGACGGUCGCCACGGCGACCGACGCUCUUGAACCGCAGCCGCACGAGCAUCUUCUUGGACGACCAUCUUGAUAAACGCUCUCGCCGGAGGUCUUCACGUCGCACGCGCUCACGAGCUGCACGGUGCGCCGCAUUCGACCCGCACGCUCUGCGCCGUGGCGACGGUCGCCAUGGCGACUGCCUUCUCUUCCGCUUUUAUGCCGGCGGUUGCGUCGGGAAUCCCUCGCGAUAAUUUUGGGCCGGUGGAAGUUUGAAAUCACUUACAAAAGACUGCAAAAGGCACUUUGCGGUGAUUAGCGAGUAGUCAGGAAUGAGGGAACAAUUUCUAGCGCGCAAAUCACGAUGAGGGUUUUUAGAAAUGCGUCAUGGGAUUUAUUUGAUUUAGUAGCGCACUGUACAAAUGCAAAAUGGAUCUUUUUGCACGUGUAAAACAAAGAUGAGCGAUCACAUUUGAAGGAUCACAUUAAGUCAUAUAUGACAAAUUCUAUUGACAGAUUUUUUUUUUCAUUCAUUUUAGGCGCAAAGUUUGAAGAGAAAAAAAUCCGCCAGUGGAACGAGUACAAAGUGACUUGAGAUUUUUUUCUUUUUAUUCUUGCAGAAAAUUUAGAUUGGGGGGGGGGGGAGAGCAUAUUAAUAUGUUUUGACUCAACAUAAGAUGAAGUGGCCAUUUUUGCAUUGUGGGAUACUUUGAGGCCACUGCAUCGGGAUCAGAACCUUCACUCCCUGCAACUUCCGUCGGCAGAAUACAAAAAGUGGCCACGAAUAUUGUAUCCAGGCUAAUAUUUUUAGAUUACUGUGCGGUACAUAUAAAGACGGUCUUUUGGAAGCUAACCACUUGUUGACCGUGCAAGAGAUUGAUUGAGCUAGCAGUCCAACAUUGACGCGUUUGCACGCCACCGAACGAGUCCGCGCCCAGUAGGGUCUUCUCCUGCAAAGGUGAACUAUGAUUCAUAUUCGUGCCAAAAUAGUCAAACCACCUGUUUUGUGAGAAUCUUUUUAGCACUAAUCUGAUUCCACAGAAGGACUGUCGUGUGAAUGCGGCUCGCAAGUCCUGUGUUGUCUUGACACGCUUCGGCCGCACGGGGGCAGCAGCGCGGCCAUGACGUUCACGAACCACCGGAAGAAGGCGAAGAAGGAGAAAAACCACCGCGAGACUCAGUGCGAGGAAGGCGACAUUAAAAUGUGCUCUUUCGGUCAACUUUGAGCUUCUUCGAGGUGACAUUUGUUUCAUUGCCGAGGCUCGACGUGUUUUUACUUGGAAUGGCGCAGGAUAAGAGAAGCUCGAGCCACGAGGUGUUAGCCGCAUAGCAGCUAACUCGCGUGGACCCGUCGCGGUUUUGUCAGCCCCCAGAAAAAGUUCCGUCCAAGGACAUCGACGAGAAGAAUGAAAGUUCGACUUGCCUGCCAGCUGCGAAGAGGCUUCCGAGAGGUUUUGGUGUUUGUUUGAAGAUAGUCCUUGGCCUGCGGUCACGUGAUGGGGUUCGACGUGCACGGUCUCCUCCGUCCAGCGGGUGGCGCUUUUCUCUCACCUUCACAGUGACGCAAAAUUGCAAUCAUGACAAGUUGGAACGGAGAUGAUGAGUGAAUACAAAUUAAUUGAUGUUUAUGUGUGUGUAUCUGUACUGACUGAACGAUCUAAUAAAACUUUGUCAACAUUUUAAAAGAAA